ensembl:lncRNA
GAGCUAUAUUUUUGUUUCCUUUUGUGAUAAAGCAAUAUAGGUGUUGAGCUUUGAAAUUAAAUAAAUAAUGAAUUCUGAACACUACUGAUAAACCUUACUACUGCCUGGGUCUGCCCGAAGAGAGGUACAGACUUUUCUUUAUCCAUCUCUGAAUCCUUGUUCAGCUCAGCAUCUGCACACAUUUAAAUUGGGAUUUACAUAUUAUCUCUUUAUAUUCUGUGGGAAUAGGAAGGACAUACACUUGACAGGUAAAGAUGUUUGUAGUCAAUGAGCCAAGUCUUAGAGAGUUGAAUCUAAAAGUUACUAAGUUAGCUGAAGAUCAGCCAGGACAGCUGAAAUAUUUUGCCACAUAUGAGGCAGGAAAAGGCAGAAUAGGGUCUGGAGACAGGGAACCUAGGGCCAAUUCACCCUGACUUCUAGAAUUAAAUCAAAAAGAAAACCCCAACUUUCCAUGCCCAAAUAACAAAAGGACCAGAGACUACUCCCUUUGCAACACCUCCCUCUCCACUUUUUCUGCGAGGCAAAUGAGAUAUUAAAAGUACCUCUGAUUGGUCCUCUCCUGCAACCAGUCAGGCUGGUGGUAGCUGGCCAAGUCUUCAUUUGUACAGGAGUAGAACUUUGUAACUUCACUUCAGCCUCUGAUUGGUCACUUUCUGCAACCAAUCAGACGUUUGUAUAGGGUAUAACUUUGCCACUUUGCUUUAGCCUCUAAUUGGUUCCCUCCUGCAACCAAUCAGACUGAUGAUGGGCCACUACUUCAUUUACAUAGGAUGUACACCAAGUAACCAAUGGGAAACCUCUAGAAGGUAUUUAAACCCCAGAAAAUUCUGUAAUCUGGCUGUUGAGCUGCUUGCUUAGGCUCUCUGGUAUCUUGUGGAGUAUAUUUUCAUUUUCAAUAACUCUCUGCUUUUAUUGCUUCAUUCCUUCCUUGCUUUGUACGUUUUUUCCGAUUCUUUGUUCAAGAUGCCAAGAACCUGGACACCCUCCACGGGUAACACAUAGACCAACUUAUGUUACACCAAGAACAUCCCAGAAGAAGGAACAUCAUCACAAAGGAUGUGUGUGGCAGGGGAGCGGUCCUACCCACUUCCAAAGGGUACCUACUUCCAAAGAGCACAGCCCAGGAAGGUCUUCAGACCUGACAGUAUGUGACUUCAUGGGAGCAAGUGAGAUCAACCAGCAUGCUCAUUCAAAUUUGCCUGUGACCUCAUGGCCUUGAGAGAGACCCUUUCUGUUUCUUAUUGGAAGAGGAAGAAGCGGUCACAUUUGUUCCUCUGAGCCUGGGAUUCCAAAGUGUCAAUUAAAGUAGUGUUUAAAUCUAGUGUUGUACCAUUUGCUCAAUGUGAUAUUUGUUUUAUGUAAUACAAAAAUAAAAUAUUUUCAGUUAUAUUUUUACAAAAUAAAGGUUGCUGAGGAUCUGUGAGAUAAUAAAGGAUCUGGAGAAGACUUGUCUUCCGUGCCCAACUUGUGAUUCUAGUGAGACAAUUAGGAGUCUCUGGUGCAUGGACUCCUGGCUCUCUCCAAUCCCAGUUGAAAACACACCUCUUUCCACAGAACCUAUGUUCUCUUGAUUGUCCUAUUACAGAAGAGCAUGGAUUUAAGAAAGUAGACUUUAAGUUUGAUCAUUUAAUGCAUUGCUUUCAUGGAAAGACAUUUCUAACAGUGGGCUUCUAGAGAAUCUGUGUUGUGGGCAGACUUAUUUGGAGGUGGGGCUUGAUUUGAGACCCUGCCAUUUACCCUUCUAACUGCACUUCUCUGGGUGUGGAGAAAGAAUUAUCUCCAUUAUCCACAAACUACUGGGACUUGAGUAAACCAGAGGCAUUCAAGCUUUCUACAAUGGCAGCUUAAAUGUGAACUUUUAAGAGACUUUGACAUUUUCCACCAUGCCAAUGGCAGACGGACAUGAAUGUGCACCCUGGGAUCUGGAGUUGCCUUCUGCUUAGGUUCCACUGGCUCCAGUCAUAUGGCCUAGAUUGUGCUGCUUUGCUCAGCUGCAGCUUCCUGAGCUGUAAAAGCAAGACGACUUAGGGAGGGAAGGGACCCCAUUCGCUCAAGGCUUUGGGCUGUGCAACCUUAGCAGCAAAUGCCAGGCUGGCCACCUGGUCUCUGACUGGUAGGCAUUAGGUCAACAUCACUGAUUUAAUAUGUAACUCAGGCGCCACUCUUUCCUCCUGGGCUUCUUAGGCAAAGUAAUUGCUAAGAACACCUUUUAAAGGUGCAAUGACAGCUGUGUUGCGAGACAUGACACAGUUCACACUUUUUCCAGAUUCACCAUUGCUUAGUUUAACGAGAGCUGCAUUGAAAAGACUGUUAUAGGAAAUCUUAAUAAUAUAAAAAUGAGGUUUAUACAAUUAUAGCUUGAUGUAGUGCAAGUUUGAGUACUGUCUUCUCCGUCAGAGGGCAAGCCAUGGGAUGUAGAAACCUGUGAUGGAUAGACUUGUGGUGAGAGUGGGUGAGGAGAUUUUUAUAUGAGGAAUGCAUGUGCCACCCCAUUAAAAGCCACCGAUUGCGAAACUGUGAAUUCUUCAAAUGCUUUGCAUAUCUACUCUGUGAAAACAACAAAAAACAACAAAAAAUGAGUAAUGACUUCAAAGCCUUCAAUCAGGAAGGUUUCCUUAGACCAUCCUCUAAGUCAUGUGCCUG